rnacentral:rRNA from 1 species
UACGUAGGGUGCAAGCGUUUGUCCGGAAUUAUUGGGCGUAAAGAGCUCGUAGGCGGUCUGUCGCGUCUGCUGUGAAAACUCGGGGCUUAACCCCGGGCCUGCAGUGGGUACGUGCAGACUAGAGUGCGGUAGGGGGAGACUGGAAUUCCUGGUGUAGCGGUGAAAUGCGCAGAUAUCAGGAGGAACACCGGUGGCGAAGGCGGGUCUCUGGGCCGUAACUGACGCUGAGGAGCGAAAGCAUGGGGAGCGAACAGG